GACCUUGUGGUGAAAUUUAGGUAGUCACGCAACACUCAGAGCGUUGUGCCGAAAGGUAUGGGGGUUCGAGUCCCCCCAAGGUCA
rnacentral:tRNA from 1 species